UGUGGAGUUUACUGUGAGCCUACAACACUGAAAAACUGGUACUGUAACCUGUGAUGGCCAAAGCACAAGGCAGCCAUCUCUCCCAGUGUUUCUGCAAUGUGCCAUUGCUCAGGGAAAGAUCUGAUGUGAGAGUGGAAAUGCACAGCCUCCCAAGUCUGCAGCAUCUUCUACUGGGUGGACUAAAUAUGUGACUGGAGAGAGACUGUCAGCUGGGUUAAGUCUGCAGUUAUUUUACCCUCUUAAAUACUGAUUGGAAAAGAUGUCAUUCUGGUAGGUCCUCUACAUGCCUCAUUUUUUUUCCUUUUAUCAAAACAGUGGGCAGAUCUACAAGAAAUUCUUACCGGGAAAGAACAUGGCAUAACUCCACCAUAUCCCAGUAAAGACAUCCAUCCAGUGGCCUCUUUUAUUCUUUUGCUUAUGAAACUUUUCUUUCAUUUACAUACAACGAAUGUCCAAGUUAAAUGAAAUGAGCAAAAGGAGCUAUAAACAAUGAUAACGUAAUUACCUAUAAGCAAAUAGUAUCCUCAUAGUGCAAUAACUUUCCACAGAGCUUUGACCUUUUUUCUCAAUGUGGUUUUUAGAUUUUUCUCCAUUUACACACCAAUAAACUACAUAUGUAGGAUGCUCUCUGGCACUGUCUGGCAGAGCAAGAAUUGGUGUCUUGGUGUUCUUCGA